CAGUCGUGCCGGCGUUGGAUUCAGCUUGCUUCGCGGAGCAGGCGUAUUUCCAUGCAUGGCAGGUCAGCGUCAGUUUUGCGCGGCGUGAAAAGGCUCGGAUAAGGUAGCUCUCUUCGGGGAGUGUUAUAGACCUGGGCAGAUGCGCUGCGCGGGACUGAGGAUUGCAGCGGACCCCCCGUCGGGGCGCGGCGACCGACCUGCCUCGGCCACCUCGUCGAUAGCGUGCUAGCGGACGC
rnacentral:rRNA from 1 species